UCUCCAGCUAGGAUUAAAAUGAAGACUCCGUACAGAGAAACCAACUAAAUACACAAUCCUGCCGGUAUGAAACAACGUACAGCUGGGCUUUUGAUACCGCCCAGCAGCUCAAGAAGGAGAGGCAGAAGAAGGCGUUCAGCCCCUGUACUGGGGGCAGAAGGGUGGGGUCAGGGACAGGUCACACCCAAACGCUGCUAACCACAGGUUUGGGAGCGAGGAGAGAAGAAAGGUUCAGAGGAAUGAGCGGGAAGGCACGAAACCUCACAAGGAGACAGUAUUCUUUUGGCUGAGGUCAUGUUCAGCCAUGCUCUGAAGCAGCUUCACACGAUGGUUCUCACUGAGAAGUUCCUGAAGUACCUCAGCACAAGAGAAAGCCGGGACUAACAGUCAAGUGCUUUUGUACUUGAUGCAGCAAAUGGGAAGCCAGGGGAAGGAAGGAAUCAAGAAAGCAUUUUAGUUCAGUUGUACAUUAAAAGUAUUUAUUGUAAUUCAACUUGUGAACACUUCAUUUAACUGACUGGAUUAGGAAGUAUAAUAUCUGAAUCCCAGCUGUUAUCCACAAUCCUUUCUGAUGCUUUCUCCUUCUUUUGUACGUUCUCCCUUCUAUCCCAUUUUCUCUAAAAACACCAUUUUCAAAUCUCACAUUUCGUACUUCUGGACAUUUCUCUCCUUCUGUCCUCCCUCUUCUGCCCCAGUCUCCCCUGUCUUCAUGCACCCUUCCCGUACAACCCCCAAGAGACUCCACGCAGAGGUAAAGGAGCAACAGCAGAGGCUUCCCGUGCACCGAUCUUCUCAGUAGUAACCGCCUCACAGGCGGGAUGCACAGAGGCACACUGUUAAAGGCAGGGCUCGGUGGUUUUACCACCAAGUUAUCUGCACCUGGUUUAUAACUUCAUCACUGUAAGCCUCCCUGUUAAGCAUGCCAAAAAAAUGUUUGCUGGUUACAAAACUUGGAGCGCUUCCAGCAUUCCCUACACUACAACGCUACGGAGGAAGUUGUGAUUGCGCAUUUUCCACCGCGAGAGAAAGUGGAAGGCACAAACUGCAUCUUCUGGGCAAGACUCAGGCGCACCCAGGUGUAGGGGAGCUGAAGGAACGGCUGCUGUUGUACUGCCGUACAGACCUUAUUCCAAAAUAGAAGUUAUGCCUGUUCAGUGAUCCUGAUAAAAACGUGAAUUCCUUUUAUUAGGUAUGGUGGUCAUCACAUUUUAGGGCCACAGGAUACACUGACGCACAACCGUAUGUUAAGCAACACAUUUCCGAAUGGUGAUAGUAGGAAGUCUGUCCCCCCGCCCACCUUUACUAAGAGGCCAUUUACACCAACCAAUCACUCAGAGCAGCUGCGCUACACCGAGAGGCAGAUAGGGCCACAGGCACACGGCACGUGUCCCUGUGAUAAGAGAAGCAACACCAGGGACUGUUGACGCUACCAAGGAUUUUGCUACCAGUUUACCUAACUCAUGUAGUAAGCCUUGCCGGAACAAAAGUAGAGCCUUGUGUUUAUCAGAGAGCAGAUUCACCAGUACAGGUCAGAGAAGUUCCAUGACCUCCCACCAGCUCAAGUAACCCCGUUCUGAGCAGUUUACAGCUGACGAGAAACCAGAGCACUGCAAUAAAAAACUGUCCAUUUUGAUCAGUCAGACCAGCAGUUCUAAGCCUUGUUUGUGCUAGACACCAACUGGUAGCAGAGAAAGGAACUGGCCUGCACCAACUGCAUACUGCCCUCCACAAUCAGUGGAGUCACCUGAUAGUAACUAAUAACGUAAUGGUCAUAUCAGAAACUCUGAAGUUCACUACCCAGCAGUGCUUUGCAGAACCUCGAAAGCACAAACUACAAUCUUUACAGACUGUAUUUCCCAACACUAUUUCCUAAAACACGGUAUUUUGAGCGCGUGUCAUGCAAACCACAUUCCUUCUUUCAGUAAUGCCUGCAAGCAUAGAGCACCAAUUCCCAGCCUACCCACCACAAAUAACAGCCACCGUAACUUUCACCAACCAGCAGUCCACAGACUGGCUAGUUGGAGCUGGACUGAAAACCUGUGCUUUUCAGCCACUCUUAUUUCUAACCCCUCUCAAAAAAUAAAUAAAUAAAUAAAUCCGUAGCAGACCACCAGCUGGAGGGUCACAAUGCUCAGGCUUUGCUAGGUGGGUAUGAGGAGAGCAAGGCAUCUUGCAGACAGUUAGGCAGAACUUAACGGUUGCAAACCUGCGGAAAACAUAAAAGAGGUGCUGAUGGUGUUUUUUGUUAGCAGUCAUCUCUUCGGUCUGAACACGGAGAGCCCUACUGCAGAAGUAGAGAUACAACAUCAGACUUGUGUCAGAUGGCGUACUUUCAGAUAUGGUACAUGAAAGGCACUACUACUGGAGUAUAACGGAGGCUUUCAGCUCUCACAUUCACUAGCUAAAAGUGACAGCAGCUGAAACUACACUCACUAGCUGGAAAGGACAGCUACCAAAACAACCGUGGCAAUACAAUACUCCCAGCAGAAGUGAGUCAGCAGAGUCUUAGUCUAUAAGUCUGCCAGCAAUAAAGACCAGACAGCCCUGAAAAUCAUACCAAGUCCCAAGUCGUGGCCACAAAAAACAUUUAUAAAGACCUGGAAAUCUAGUGAUGUUAUAAAUAGUACGAAGCGUUGUGCAAUGUGUACGCUAGAAGGGUUAAAAUACAAAAAUACGCUUUCUUUAGCCAAUGCUUUGCCACUUGGGCGAAUGAUUAACACAGUAGCACGCAGCAAGAAAGUCUGUUAAUUCUCAAACUCCAUGCUGGAUUAAACUGCUCCUCUCAAGGUAUACAGUCCCAUUUGUGUACCAUUACUUGUCCCAAUGCUCUCCAACUGCUUCUCCAGAAGAGUUUUGGCCUGCCAGAGCUGAGUGUUUGCUGUACACAGAUGUCACAUCAUAUGUAAUGGCUCUGGACCCCUGUGCUUAGGCAACAAAAUCCCACCCCAUAUCUACUUAAAAAAAGAAAUGGUUUACACCACAUAGUUGUGGCAGAGAAGUAGCUUAAGUUCUUCCUUUAGUUACAGUGAGGAAGUAUAAUUUGAUGUCAAGAAGAUUACAGGUCUAAGUGGUGGUAGAACCUAGCUGUGGCCUAAGAUAAAAAAAAAGACAUUUUAAGAAAUGGACUGUUGCAGGGGAAAACAAAAAAUAGUAAGAAAACUGCUUUUCCAGAUUGUGGUUUCCUUGUUGAUGCAAAUAUACCAAAACGCACGCCCUACCUGCGCAGAGAACUCACUUAUCCCCAACGUGCAGGAAUGACACAGCUUGUGAGACGUCACAUUUCAGCCCAGAGCAUGACUUUAUAGUAAAACCCAAUUCACUUCUCACCACCCGGAGCUCUGACUAUUCCCAGCUGACUAGCUGGCAGCUCAGGAAGUGCUUCAUAGACCGACAGCUGCACCCCUGCAAAAGCUGCUGUUUCUAUUCUGCGGGCAAACACUUGGGGGAGGGAGGAAAUACCUGCACCAGCCUCUCCUACAGAAAAAACUCUGCCAAGCGUGUCACAACUUUCAGUCUGCCUUAAAGUUAGUGUUUUGUUUGACACCAUUAAUCCCACAACACAGUGUGCAAUAUCCAGUCUCUAAGGAGCUACCUGAGCUUUGGGGAUACACAGAGAUCCUCCCAAACACCGAAGGCUACAAAAUGGAAACACACAACCCAUUUAUACAAGUUAUGAACCACUGGGGAGAAGAAAGGGAGAAAUGUCAGUGUUCACUGCAAAUAACCAGCGUUCUACUUGUGUAGGUAUUUACAAUGUGUUAUUAUUUCAAUAUUUAAAAUAAAGCAUUUUAAUUACUCCCCCUAUUUUUCAUAAAGUCAUUAAUACGCUGUGUUUUUUCAAUAUGCUAUUCUUCCAACUACGGGAAGUUACAAGAUAAAAGAAGAAACGAUUUUUUUCUGCUCUCUCCCAUGUAAUACUGGCCAUAAUCAACAAGAGCAACACCAUUUUGACAAAUUUCAGUCCCUUCACAGCCAUCACAAAGAACUUUUAUCGCGUGCACAUAUCUCCAGUUGAGGAUCUUCUCCACAUAAUAGAAAAAAAUAAGAGCCAAAAGUAUGAACAUUCAGCAGAGCAAGUCAGGAAAUUAAGGAAGACUUUAUCUGAGCUCAGGACUAUGCUACUCAUUCAGCUCAUGCUUUGUAGAGAUGCUCAUUGCUACGGAGUCGCCAGUGGCUCUAGUGCAUCAAAUUGUAACCAUCAGGAAAACCCUGUUCAGUUACGACAAAAGGAGAGUACUGCAAUUAAAGCACCGGACUGUUGGCGAUGGGUUCCAAGUUUCAUAUCCAUCUUCAUUUCUGACUUACCCUGCGGUCAGGCCAACCACACAACAUUAAUAUUAGCAAAAAGCACUGCACUGCAAGAGUCAGCAAAACAGCACAACUCCAUCAUCCCAAGUAUCUGCGUAACUGUACUUAGGUCACAACCUAAACUGGUCACGACCUUGUUGUUUUCCAAAGUGGCUUUUCCUGAAGAUAGAGACUAUAGCAAUGAAUGCAAACAUUUUCAUUGUAGAUACACUUUAUCUGGCUUCCGCACUCCAUCUUCUGUCUUCUGUAAUGUUCAUAUCCCUUACUGCCUUCCUAUCUGGGCCUUGAUUUGGUUUUUGUUAAACAGGCUCUUCUGGCUACUUUCUUCUCAUGACAAGCCUUCACCAUUCUUCUCACCCAAAUUGUUCUCACUCCAUUCUUCCUUAUCCAGAUCAGAAAGAGACGCAUCAAGGAUUUAUCAUAGGCACUAGAACAGCCAGAAUCCAUCAGAGAAGGAAAGAAUAUUCCAUCUCACUGUGGAGAGAGAAUCUCUGCCAUCAUAAUUCACUGCUGGAUUCUAAAGUCACACAGUAUUUAAAAACACAGCAACCAAACAAAAACCCCACCACAUCCUUAAUUAUUGAAGAACAAAACCUCACGAAGAAAGUCUCGCUGGUAUUGCAGCUAAUGGGACUGUUGCCUACUUGCAUAUCAUGUCUCCAUUUUUUUAAUAGAUCCUCUGCUGCCCAUGCAACAGCAAAUGGACAAACAGCUGUUCUCAGGUGAAAGCUCUUCCUCACUCCUCUAAGGCACAGAUCUAUUUCCACCAUGUCUGUAAGCAUCUUGGACUUCCAGUUCCUCAGGAAAUUAAGCUUUAAACAGUCAACAUACAGUCACAUGCUUUAAUGUAAUCUAGUGUAAAGAAUUGGUAUUAGUGAAAAAAAUUAUUUCCUUUUUUUUUCCCUGGUAGACAACCAAGCAAGUUUAUUAACAAGUGGGACUAACAUUGGCUUCAUCCAGUUGCAUGUUAACCUCCCAGCAGCACGUGCUGCACUGAGCAAGCAGUAGGUGAGUUUAGUAGCUGGUGCUGCCUGACAGAAUACGUAAGUGAAUUAAUUUUGCCAUCUCUGCCAGGACUAAGAACUAAGCUAUUUUCCCACAAACACAUACAUAGGCACAAAAAUGCUCGCCCACAGCAAGACUUUCAAGAAGAAUCAAUUCCCCAUUCCGGUUCUCAAUAGAUUCACAAACAAAACAACCUGUGCCUGAGGGCACCAAAAGGGUGCUGCGGCAGCGUGCUGAGUGGCUGCAUUGGUCAGAGCGCCCUGAAUCACUAUUUCCCCUUGCAGCCUGCCCUCUUCUUCACGAGACCUUCAGUUUUCAGAGUCUGUACUGCCUUCAAAUCUUCAAGGAGAUUUGCCAAGGGAGACUGAAGACGACUUGUGAGCUCAGAAGCCACGCAUCAACAGCGUCACAGCGCAAACGCACGAGCUCUGACAUCUCAAGGAACGAGGCGAAAAGCCCAAACCACGCUACUGGAAAGCUACUGGAAGCCACUCAGCCUGCCAGGCUGAAGGAACAACCGCAAACCCUCACGCCUACCGGUUACAAACGGCGCUCCCCGGCUCCCUUUGAAACCGGGGACGCCCCGCGGCGCCACCCUGGGGCUGCCGGCGCACUCGCCCCGCACGAAGCCGCGGCGGGGCCGGGCAGCGCCCGGCGGGGGCCGCCUG